UGGGCUGUGGUCAUUUAUUAGAUGAUUAGUGCUGCAAGUAUGAAAGCAAUAGCUUUGAUACUUUAGAAAUAAAGUGGACCUAAACACAAACCUUUUCAAAUGUCUCUACACACUACACAUUAUUAUACUUUUUAAAUGGUUAUAUUUUAAAGAAAGACAAUGACCGUUUUAUUACCUGUCAACACUCUCCACAUGCAAUAGCCCAGAAUGGUGUUGUUUUUAUUCUGCCCAACAGCAUUGUCAAAGUGAAUCUGCGAAUAAACAUUUCUUGUUUAAAAUAAUUAAUAUAUAUUUAAAUGGAGAUUAUUGCUACACCUAUGAAAACAUUUAUGAAUUAAUGGAAACAGAAUUAUGUUAUGUCCAGCAACAAAAUGAAAUAAUUACAAAUUACAAAAACAUAGAUUAAAGUAACAAUUAUUACAAAAGCAACUAUGUAUAAAUUUACUUAAUCUUUCCAGUGAAAAGAAAGACAAAACAUUAUUUUGUUAAUCUCAGAGUAUGUAUAGCAAUAAAUUACCUCUGCGUGUUUUUCUCCAGUGCCAAAGUGAGAAAAAUAGUGGUGCACCAAACUUGUGACACAAUCGCCACCUUUCCCAGGCAUUUCUGACUCGUCAAUCAUAUAGAAUCUCUGUAUUCCUGUAAUAUUGUUUUAUGUACAUAAAAAUAAUUUUUACAAAUAAAAACUAUAAAAAGACUAUAUUUUAAUACGUCAUGCAUACAAGAUUUUCACUUAAUGUUUGUGCAAAACACUUGUAUUGUUUAAUUACAAUAUACACAAGGCUUGUCAGCAAAGGAUGACAUAUGCCUCCUUUUUCCACAUUUUUCUAAACCUAAGCGCAAAGUGUUUUUGCACUUUUUCGAAACCUAAACGCAAAGUGUGACGGAAUUUCAGACAGACAGACAGACGGACAGUGUGAUCACUAUAUGCCCACCUUCGGGGGCACCCGGGUGUACAUUGUCCAGGGUAAUCAUGGAACUUAGGCUGGAAAUCCAUGGUAUAACAUGGAAUUCCAUGGAAAUCCCUGGAAUUUGAAACAGUUUCCAGGGUUUUCCAGGGUUUUGUUCUAGAAAUGUCCAUGAAACGUGGACUUUUUUUCCAAGCAUUUUCCAGCCUUGGAUGGAAAAGCAUGGAAAAGGAAUGGAAAACGCUGGAUUUAGGCUGGAUAACCAUGGAAAAUAUUUCCAGAUAGCAUGGAAAGUGGAACAUAGAAUUUUUUAAGCAUGGAAAAGACUCUAACAUUUUCAGCUGACCCUGGAAAAAACUUAGACUUUAUAAGAAAAGAAAAUAACUUUUAAAAAUGCAACACAUUUUAUUCAAAGUAAAUCAGAGUUCAACAAUUUACACAACAUAUGAAUAAAGCAUAAAACAAUGUGCAUAGUUUGGGCAGAAAUAGUAGUAGUUAUAGUAGUAGUAGUAGUGGUAGAAGUAGUAAUGCUGAGGCUGGCAGUAGAAUAUGUUGUAGGAGUAGAAGUAAAAGUGGUUGUUGUAUAAGUUGUAUAAGCAGUUAAACUACUGAUAAUUAUACUAUUGGUGCAAAUUUAAGUGACAGUAGCAGUAGUAGCAGUUAUUAUUGUGUUGUUGUUUUAGCAUUUACAGGAAUAGUAGCAGUAAUGGUAGCAAUAGUAGUAUAAAUAAUAAUAACAAUACUAGUAGCAGCAGUAGUAGUAGUAGUUACGGAAGUAGCAUUAGCAGCAGCAGCAGUAGUAGUAGUAGAAGUAGUAGUAGUAGAAGUAGUAGUAGCAGUAGCAGCAGCAACAGUAGUGGUAGUAGUAGAAGUUGUAGUAGUAAUAGUAGUAGAAGUAGCAGCAGUAGCAGCAUCAGCAGCAUCAGUAGCAGUAGUAGUAGUAGCAGUAGUAGCAGCAGUAGUAGUAGUAGUUAAGGAAGUAGCAUUAGCAGCAGCAGCAGCAGUAGUAGUAGAAGUAGUAGUAGUAGAAGUAGUAGUAGUAGAAGUAGCAGCAGCAGCAGUAGUAGCAGUAGCAGCAUCAGCAGCAUCAGUAGCAGUAGUAGUAGCAAUAGUAGUUGAAGUACUAGUAGUAGUAGUAGUAGUAGUAGUAGUAGUAGUAGUAGUAGUAGUAGUAGUAGUAGUAGUAGUAGUAGUAGUAGUAGUAGUAGUAGUAGUAGUAGUAGUGGUAGUAGUAGUAGUAGUAACAGCAGCAGCAGCAGCAGCAGCAGUAGUAGUAGUAGUAGUCGCUGCAGCAGGAGUUGUAGUAGUAGUAGCAGCAGCAGCAGCAGGAGUAGUAGCAGCAGCAGCAGUAGCAGCAGCAGUAGCAGUAGUAGUAGUAGUAGUUGAAGCACUAGUAGUAGUUGAAGCAGUAGUAGUAGUAGUAGCAGUAGUAGCAGCAGUAGUAGUAGUAGUAAUAGUAGUAGUAGUAGAAGUAGUAGUAGUAGUAGUAGUAGUAUAAGUAGAAGUAGCAGUAGUAGUAGUAGUAGUAGUAGUAGUAGUAGUAGUAGUAGUAGUAGUAGUUGUUGUUGUUGUUGUUGUUGUUGUUGUUGUUGUUGUUGUUGUUGUGGCUGUUGUAAUAGUAGUAGUAGUUUUGCAGAAGUAGUAGUAGUAGUAGUAGUACUAGUAGUAGAAGUUAUAGUAGUAACUUUCAAAGCUAUGUCUACAAGUUUAAAUUCUUUAACCCUGUUCAAGGUGUAUACACACUCAAUAUUUAACUACAGUCCAGCGCAAUUAACAAACUAUCGAUAAACCUGUGUGUGAGUCAGAUAUGUCUGCUGCUAAUCUAUUGGUUAUAAAAUAUCACAGCCUUUUCUGAUUGGCUGAGUUCAAAUACAGAAAGUUUACCUGUUAGAUUUAAAUUCUGACGUAUUGUAGAAAAUUUACAGGUUAAACUUGUUGUUAAAAUGAAGUUAAUGUAAUGUUCACAAACAGUCGAGUUAAUGAGUUUUUCCAUUAACAAGAAUGUCUUAAAAUAAUAAUGUAUGGAUAUCAUUUGGAAAGUGACAUGAAAUGUUGUUAAAAAGUGAUGCAUACAAGUGUUUCAGAAGUCUGUCUAGGAAUAGAACAACAACUGAAGCUGACCAGUUGAUGGAAGAUACUGCAGAGUUUGGCAGGGAAAUUACCCAAGACAGCAAAGCGGCUCUUUUGGCGCAUUUACCAAGAGGACUAACAUGGCCACAAAUUCAUGAGAUCAUGCAGGAGCCGUACAGUAUAACAGCAGUACAAGUUCUAUAAAAGAUCCACGACCUACUGAAGCCCAGCUAAUUAACAAAAAAGUUUUUAAAAACUGUAAUUUUAUCCCACCUGGGUACUUAUAAUUUACUAAGCUGCCUUCACAAGUUUUAGACUUGCAAUUAUAUUUUAAACUGUCACUUGGAAAGUAAUACAUGUACAUGCAUUAUGUUCUGAAUUUCUUUGAACAAUAAAAUUAUAUAAAAGUAUUUUAAUGAAAUUGAGCACCUUAAUUGCAUUAAAGUGAAAGUAGCUGAGAAAAAUAGUAUCCUUGUGCUCAUGGGCAGCUACAUAUAUUGUGACAAACAUGAAGUAGCUAAAAUAACUUAAAUUUUUCAUUUUGUUUCUUGUAUAUCGUUUGUACAGGGUUCGUGAAUUGUUACUGUAUAUUACUUGACUUGCUUGUAUUUUGUUACUUUGAAUACAUGUUGUUAAGGUUGCAUUAUACUUUUUUACUUUUAAAGUAGCGCCUGUUCUGUUAUGUAAGGGCCUGAUUUAUGAUAAUGGACCUAGAGGCUUUGUAAGCAUGUAUUAAACA